GACGAACGCUGGCGGCGUGCUUAACACAUGCAAGUCGAACGGACAGGCCCUGCUUUUGUGGGGCGCUCGAUUGGCGAACGGGUGAGUAACACGCGUGUAACCCCCCCUUGUCUUUGUGGGAUAAUCACGGGACUGGGGCUCAUAUCGCAGAGGAGCUCCUGAAGCGUGGUGGGCGUUGGAGAGAUUCGGCGGUGGGGGAUGGACUGGCGGCUUACCAGCUGGUUGGUGGGGUAGUGGCUGACCAAGGCUUUGACGGCUAGCCGGCCUGAGAGGGUGGCCGGCCACCUUGCGCCUGAGAUACGGCCCAGACUCCUACCGGACGCAGCAGUGGGGAGUAUUGCACAAUGGGCGGAAGCGUGAUGUAGCAACGCUGCGUUCGGGAUGCCGGGCUUCGGGUUGUAAACCGAUUUCUCCUGUGACGAAGCGUGAGUGACGGUACUGGGUAAAGAAGCACCGGCUAACUACGUG
rnacentral:rRNA from 1 species